rnacentral:rRNA from 1 species
GAUCGGUAGCUGGUCUGAGAGGACGAUCAGCCACACUGGGAUUGAGAACGGCCCAGACUCCUACGGGGGGCAGCAGUGAGGAAUUUUCGUCAAUGGGGGCAACCCUGAACGAGCAACGCCGCGUGCAGGAUGAAGGUUUUCGGAUCGUAAACUGCUUUUCUCGGGGACGAGCAAGGACGGUACCCGAGGAACAAGCCCCGGCUAACUACGUGCCAGCAGCCGCGGUAAUACGUAGGGGGCGAGCGUUGUCCGGAGUUACUGGGCGUAAAGCGUCCGCAGGCGGUCUCCUAAGUUCAAAGUGACAGUCGUCGGCUUAACCGAGGAAGGUCUGGGAAGACUGGGAGACUUGAGGGCUCACGAGGGACACGGAAUUCCGGGUGGAGUGGUGAAAUGCGUAGAGAUCCGGAGGAACACCGAAGGCGUAGGCAGUGUCCUGGGGAGUUCCUGACGCUCAGGGACGAAAGCCAGGGGAGCGAACGGGAUUAGAUACCCCGGUAGUCCUGGCCGUAAACGAUGACCACUAGGCGUGGGGGGUAUCGACCCCUUCCGUGCCGUAGCUAACGUGAUAAGUGGUCCGCCUGGGGAGUACGGUCGCAAGAUUAAAACUCAAAGGAAUUGACG